CGCGGCCUAUCAGCUUGUUGGUGGGGUAAUGGCCUACCAAGGCAACGACGGGUAGCUGGCGUGAGAGCGUGGCCAGCCACACUGGGACUGAGAUACGGCCCAGACUCCUACGGGAGGCAGCAGUGGGGAAUCUUGCACAAUGGGCGAAAGCCUGAUGCAGCGACGCCGCGUGAGGGAUGAAGGCCCUAGGGUUGUAAACCUCUUUCAGCAGGGACGAAGCGAAAGUGACGGUACCUGCAGAAGAAGCCCCGGCUAACUACGUGCCAGCAGCCGCGGUAAUACGUAGGGGGCGAGCGUUGUCCGGAUUUAUUGGGCGUAAAGAGCGCGUAGGUGGUUCGUAAAGUCGGAAGUGAAAUUCCAGGGCUCAACCCUGGGACGCCUUUCGAUACUUGCGGACUAGAGCACGGUAGGGGGAUCUGGAAUUCCUGGUGUAGCGGUGAAAUGCGCAGAUAUCAGGAGGAACACCGGUGGCGAAGGCGGGAUCCUGGGCCGUUGCUGACACUGAGGCGCGAAAGCUGGGGGAGCGAACAGGAUUAGAUACCCUGGUAGUCCCAGCCGUAAACGAUGGGUGCUAGGUGUGGGAGGCUAUCGACGUCUUCCGUGCCGCAGCCAACGCAUUAAGCACCCCGCCUGGGGAGUACGG
rnacentral:rRNA from 1 species